UACGUAGGGGGCGAGCGUUAUCCGGAAUUAUUGGGCGUAAAGAGUACGUAGGCGGGAGCUUAAGCGCAGGGUUUAAGGCAAUGGCUUAACCAUUGUUCGCCCUGUGAACUGGGCUUCUUGAGUGCAGGAGGGGAAAGCGGAAUUCCUAGUGUAGCGGUGAAAUGCGUAGAUAUUACACAGAACACCGAUUGCGAAGGCAGCUUACUAAUCCAUCAUUGACGCUGAGGCACGAAAGCGUGGGGAUCAAACAGGAUUAGAUACCCCCGUAGUCCCU
rnacentral:rRNA from 1 species